GAAUAAAAGCAGGCUGCCCGAGCUAGCCAGUAGCAACUCUCUCUGGUCCCUUUCCACACUAUGGAAGCUUUGUUCUUUUGCUCUUCACACUAAAUCUUGUUGCUGCUCAGUGUUUGGGUCCGCACGGCGUUUGUGAGCUGUAACACUCACCGCGAAGGUCUGCAUCUUUGCUCCUGAAGCCAGCGCGAAGGUGUGCAGCUUCAGUCCUGAAGCCAGCGAGAUCGCGAACCCGCCAGGAGGGACGAACAACUCCGGCCAGGAGGAACAAACUUCUCCAGACGUGGCGCCGCCUUUAAGAACUGUAACACUAACCGCGAAAGUCUGUAGCUUCGCUCCUGAAGCCAGGGAGACCACGAACCCACCAGAACAAAAAAACUCCGGACACAUCAUCUUUAAGAACUCACCGGGAGAGUCUGCGGCUUCAUUCCUGAAGUCAGCGAGACCAAGAACCCACCAAUUCUGGACACAAUUGGAUACUAUAAUCGAUAAAGAUCACUUAUUCUAUGGGAAGCCUGCUGCCAUGCUAUGAGGACACUCAGGCAGUACUCUGGAGAGUUGCACAUGGUAAAGAACUGAGCUCUCUUGCCAACAUCCAUACACUGAUUUUCUGUCUGAUUUUACUGGAGAGGCAGAAUAAUGUGCUGGAUCUAAACCUCUAAGUUUGAAUUCUGGCUCCACCACAUAUUCAUUGUGUGUCUUAGGAAAAGAGCUUAUUCUGUACAGAUAUAAUCAUUGUUUUUGAUGUGGGGAACCUUUUCCACCUAACGGAUGGCUUCAAAAGAAUCUGAAGCAAAGCUGAGAAUUUAGGAUUUAAGAAUGACCAUUUGGAAAUUUUCUUCACCAGAAAUAAAACUACUGAAGUCUUCCUGAUCUUUGACCGGGAUUUUUUCCUGUCCCUUUUGGAGCCCCAAAGCAGUGAAAUGGAGCAGAACUAGUUAGCCAUCCGUGCAGUUGCUUUGGGAGACGGCCAUGGUACCAGAGUGAAACGUCAGAGCCAGACCAGCAUGAGAAGAAUGUCUACUCAAGGGAUGGCAGCAGAGUGUGGGUUUCAGAGUCUGAGAUGGGUGACGAGGUCAACCCAAAGAGGGAGGCCCAGCACAUAGUGUCAGAAACCAAGCAGGGUGGAGAGGGUGUCCCUGCAGGGUUCCUGGUGGUGGCAGUAGCAGCAACUCAAGAUUGGCUACACACAAGGAGACUGAUCAAAUAAUAUAUUGAGAAUAACAAGAAUCAGAAGCUUCACCAUGGAUGAGAAAGGAAUUAC